UAUGGAAGUACACCAGCUAGAGGUGGCUAUAAUGCUGGUGGUAGAGGAGGAGGAAGCUAUAAUGCCAGUGGUGGUAGAGGUGGUGGUUAUGGAAGUACACCAGCAGCAGAGCCUGCACAGGUUAAACAGUGUGAUGAUAAUUGUGAUGAUUCGUGCGAUAAUUCUAGAAUCUAUGUAUCUAAUUUGCCACCAGAUGUGACCAUUGAUGAAUUGAGAGAAUUAUUUGGCGGAAUUGGUCAAAUUGGAAGAAUCAAGCAGAAGAGGGGCUACAAGGAUCAGUGGCCUUGGAACAUAAAAAUAUAUACAGAUGAGAUGGGAAAUAACAAAGGCGAUGCAUGUGUAUCAUAUGAAGAUCCCUCUGCAGCGCAUUCUGCUGGCGGUUUCUAUAACAAUUAUGAUUUGAGAGGCUAUAGCAUUAAUGUUGCAAUGGCUGAGAAGUCUGCACCAAGGGCUCCACCUACAUACAACCAUGGUGGUGGUGGUAGAGGUG
rnacentral:misc_RNA from 1 species